rnacentral:tRNA from 1 species
GGGGCUGUAGCUCAGAGGUAGAGCACUUGCCUAGCAUGUGUGAGGCACUGGGUUCAAUCCUCAGCACCA